CCCUUAGAUGUUCUGGGCCGCACGCGCGCUACACUGAUGCAUUCAACGAGCCUAUCCUUGACCGACAGGUCCGGGUAAUCUUUGAAUCUGCAUCGUGACGGGGAUAGAUUAUUGCAAUUAUUAAUCUUCAACGAGGAAUGCCUAGUAGGCGCAAGUCAUCAGCUUGCGUCGAUUACGUCCCUGCCCUUUGUACACACCGCCCGUCGCUGCUACCGAUUUCGAGUGGUCCGGUGAACCUUUUGGACUGUGUCAGGCUCGACCUGAUAUAGGAAGUUAAGUAAACCUUAUCACUUAGAGGAAGCAGAAGUCGUAACA
rnacentral:rRNA from 1 species